rnacentral:sRNA from 1 species
UGGAAAGUUCUCUUUUAUUCCAUGGGAAUGAGACAGCAUGAACAGCAGCAGUGCAAGCUUUCCCCACAGCUCCUAGUCAAUAUGCAUAAGCCAUGAUCUGGAGGACUCACUCUCAUGUGUGAAAGUCUAUAAGACAAAUUAAUUCUUUGGCCUCU